CAAUAGCGUAUAUUAAAGCUGUUGUGGUUAAAAAGCUCGUAGUUGGAUUUCUGUCAAGGACAACUGGUCCGCCCUCCGGGUGAGCACAUAGUUUGGUCUUGGCAUCUUGCUGGAAACUGUUGCUGCGCUUGGUUGUGUGGUGCAGCUUUCAGCACUUUCACUUUGAGGAAAUUGGAGUGUUUCAAGCAGGCACAUGCCUUUGGACACAGUAGCAUGGAAUAAUUAGAUUGGGCUUUUGCUCCAACUUGUUGGUUCCUGGAGCUGAGGUGAGAAUCAAUGGGGAUUGUUGGGGGCAUCCGAAUUUAGCCGUCAGAGGUGAAAUUCUUGGAUCUGCUAAAGACGGACAACUGCGAAAGCGUUUGCCCAGGAUGUUUUCAUUGA
rnacentral:rRNA from 1 species